rnacentral:tRNA from 1 species
GAGAGAUUAGUUAAAUUAUAAUAUAAGAUUGUCAGUCUUACGUUACUAAUAAAUUAGUAUCUCUUA